rnacentral:rRNA from 1 species
UACGUAUGGAGCAAGCGUUAUCCGGAAUUACUGGGUGUAAAGGGAGCGUAGACGGAAGAGCAAGUCUGAUGUGAAAUGCGGGGGCUCAACCCCUGGACUGCAUUGGAAACUGUCCUUCUUGAGUACCGGAGAGGUUAUCGGAAUUCCUUGUGUAGCGGUGAAAUGCGUAGAUAUCAGGAGGAACACCAGUGGCGAAGGCGGCUUACUGGACGAUAACUGACGCUGAGGCUCGAAAGCGUGGGGAGCAAACAGG